rnacentral:rRNA from 1 species
UAGUCAUAUGCUUGUCUCAAAGAUUAAGCCAUGCAUGUCUAAGCACAAGCCUAAGAAUGGUAAAGCCGCGAAUGGCUCAUUACAACAGCCAUAGUUUACUGGAUCUUACUUUCCUACUUGGAUAACUGUGGUAAUUCUAGAGCUAAUACACGCAUGAAAGCUCUGACCGUAUGGAAGGAGCGCAUUUAUUAGAACAAAACCAAUCGGGCCUUCGGGCCCGCCAAUUGGUGAAUCUGAAUAACUUUGCAGAUCGCACGGUCUCGUACCGGCGACGUAUCUUUCAAAUGUCUGCCUUAUCAACUUUAGAUGGUAGUUUACACGCCUACCAUGGUUGUAACGGGUAACGGAGAAUAAGGGUUCGACUCCGGAGAGGGAGCCUGAGAAGUGGCUACCACAUCCAAGGAAGGCAGCAGGCACGCAAAUUACCCACUCCCGGCACGGGGAGGUAGUGACGAAAAAUAACGAGGCGGUUCUCUACGAGGCCCGCCAUCGGAAUGGGUACAAUUUAAAUCCUUUAACGAGGAUCUAUU